UUUCCGUAGGUGAACCUGCGGAAGGAUCAUUGCACACACGAUGCAGCAAACUAGCGAACUGUGUUUGUCCCCCACCUACCCCAAACACGAGGGGCCGCAUCUGGAGGUGCGGCUGUCGACGGCAAGGUCCCGACCUUCGGGUCCCCGCAGUGGUUCCCGCAGGCGGGCUGAUCAUGUCGCCGUCGGGGUGUCUCGCGCGGGCUCUCGCCUUGCCUUAGGGUUGGGCGACGCGGGCAUUCUCCUCCCUUCGAUGGCGUCGUCCCCUCCGCCGGGAGAGCGACACGCCUCGAGGGCUGUUGAAAACUUUGCACCAUGUACAACACCAGUGACUGGGUAUACCUGUGUCCCGGUUCCGAUGGUGCCCUAGGGUGGGGCGGGAUUGGGCCAUAGGAACAAGAGUAAACAAAAACAACUCUCAGCAACGGAUAUCUUGGCUCUU
rnacentral:misc_RNA from 1 species